rnacentral:miRNA from 1 species
AAUGGCAUCAGGAGGUCGGCGAG